UUGUCAACCUUUUGGAUAAACGUUCUAACAGUCAGAACAAAGAUUCACAAAGACAGCUCUUUUAUUACAAAUCCUUGGUUUUUCCUCGGCAAACCUCUUUCACUUAUAUCACUUAACAAAAUAUCUCGAUUAUAUCUCAAAAAUACCAUCUAUUCUUUUAGACACAGAAAUAUCUCAUUCUCUUACCCGUUUACUCUUCUACUUGACAAAUUCUCUUCGCGACAUCAGAUUCUUCGAUUCCCCAGAACAACAACGAUCCUAAUCUAUGAACCGAGGAAGAGACACUCGCGACAACUCUCAAAUAGCAAAACACUCGAGGUAAAUCGAGUCCCAGAGUAAAUUAUCGGACGUUCCUACUCUCCACGAUCUAAGAUCGAUCUUUGAGCGAUCUACGUACAAACGUACCGGCUUCUCACUUUCUCGUUCGCGGAUCGACUGGCGGAUAUCGUUGUCGUACCUGGCCGACCGAUCGCCACUGUGCACCUGUUCCCUCGACAGGACAACGUGUCUCCGUUCGAAUUGUCUACUCGUAGUGGGAGUAGAGUGUACACCGUACACCUUAGCCUUAAAGUAUGACGUCAUUGAUCCGUUGACUCGGAAGCGAGACAAGUUACGAAACCUAACCAUGGAAUCGCUAUCGAUUUUUCGCGCCGAUCGGUAAUCUUCAUCCUUGUGCGACGAAAAUAGGGUUUCCAUGAAAAAUCGUUGUAUGAAUGAACGUGCAUAGGAAGGAGGAAAUUAUGUAACGUAGCUCUUACGAUCGACUUUUCGCGACGACCUUCGAGCUUUUACAAUAACAUGGAAAAUUUCGAUAAAUUCUGGAGAAUUAAUCGACUAUCGAACACGAAGAGGAGAAAAUUGUGAAACGUAGUUUUUACCUAUUCUGAGAUGUAAUUUACCUCGGGGUAAAAGUCUGUAAUGAGUUUCAUCUGGAAACUGCGAGUUGAUUUACUCACACCGUUGGUCUCUUCCUAUUUGUUCGAGAAGAAAUUGUCCCCGUAGUUUAAGGGAUGUUUGAAAUUAAAGUAACGAGAUCAGAGCAGAAGUUGAUAACAUCAGGUGAAAACAUUGAGAGGAAAAGCAUUGUUAGUAACCUUCUUUUACGUGCUAUUAUUUCUUGUCGCUCUGUUUGAAUUUUCAUGCACUUUGCGAAAAAAUACUUUGUGGAAAGAUAAAAAACUGUGGAUGAUUCUUGACUAACUUCAAAGAAUAAUUAACUUCAAAUAAUAAUAACUGUGGAGAUUAGUCAAAUGUGAAGGUAAAUCGCGAGGCAUUGGGUGGAAGACAAGUAGUGCUCUUCGAGGUUUCCACUCUCUGGGGAUUACAAAGAGAUGAACGAUCCUCGACAACUCUCCAACAAACGUAUUUCGAGCCCAUCUGAUAUCCAAUUGCAGGUCAUUUGUGCCUACAUCCUCGACAUUUAUCAACACCAGUUUGUUGAAAGUUGAUUUAUCGUAUCAAACUACUCCUUGAUGGAAGAUCUGAGCCAAAGUGCAGACUACCCAAUGGCCAUUCAAUACUACUCACUUCCUCCAAAAUAAUCCCUAAUGGCUGGCUGACUAUUAGGAACGUUUCUAAGGGUUGCUUCCUGCUUUCAAUUACUAUUUCUAUAGGCAGGGUCUCUCUUGGAUCAAUGGUGGCAAAUAAUCUAUCAUUGAACGAGUAUCUCCCUUUGAAUGUUGUGAUGUGGAAAAUUUCUCCGUAUUGAAGGAAGCACUUCUUCUACGAGAAGAAUUUCUAACAGUGAGAAGAUUGAACUGAGUGUUUCCGGAACUGAAUAAUUCUUUAAGAAUAAAGAAGAAUGGGAGAACAUUGGAAAAAUUUCAAAUUAAGGGUGUUAAGACGGAGGAGCUGUGGCAGGGAAAAGAUUAUAGAAGAGCAUAACGAAAAUUGCAAUGAUAAGGAAUCGUUUAAGUAUUUCUCGUAGAAAAAGAGUUUAAAAAAAAUAACGCAAAAAUAUCAAGAUUAAUAAUAACAAGUAAAAACUGUAUGAAAGAUGUAAAAGUUAAAUUGUAGCAAUAAAGAAAACAGUGUAAAGGUGAUAAAAAUAAUUUGAUGAUAUAAAAACAUCAUGGUGCCAAAAAGUAAGCUGUUUACCUACAACGAAUAGUACAAAACCAUUAAAAAAGAUAUACUAGCAAUUCUACUAACAAGCGAUGCCAUAAAAUAAAAGAAAGAUUACGUAAAUAUAUACAUAUAUAUAUACAAACAUAUGAUGAUGAUGACAUCCUUCGAAUUCUUCGAAUAUCCUAAAAUUUUAAGCUAGAAAUCUGGAAAAUUGCAGCAUUAUGCUAUCAACGUAUCUAAUUGCUGAUGUAAAUAGCUCCACUAUUUCUAAGAAUUACUCUUUCUCUCUUGUUAAGUGACUUUUAUUUCGUGUCAGAGCGUUUAACAUAUAAUAGACCCUUCCGUAAUUAUCGAAAAAGAAAACAAACGCCCCCGCAGGACAAUGGAUGAACGUUAUUAUUCCGAGCAUCGAGGAUGACGUGUCAGGGGCGCCUACAACAAUGCCCAAUGUCAAAGACCGCAAUAAGACUCGAAGGUUUCCUGCUAGAUACGAUCGUAGUCGUAAAAUCCGAGGGUCAAGUGGCAAUGACCCUGUACCAUAUUUUACCAGAAUUUGGCAAGGCCCAACCUAACACGUUCAAACAAAUGAAACCGAAAGGUGAAUUGCUUAGGUGGAAUUGUAAAUGAUAUAACUGACAUUGAUGAAGAUUUUCGAAUUAUAUAAGCAGAGAAUAUACACUACUAAUAAUUUUAAGUCAUUUUGUUAAUUUCGCUUAUGAUGUGUUAUUAACUUUGAAAUUAAUUCUGCAACCAUCGAUAAUAUUUUUUUUUAUUACAAUAAAUUUAAAAUCUAUGGUAGGUUUUUUUCAAUUCAUAAGGUUCUGUGAAACACGUAAUCAUACCAAAAGUAUGUAUCGUUUAUCAUUUAAAUUCCACAAUAAGUAAAAUUUCGUAACACGAACGGAUCGCCUUCAUCUUUCAAUGAAUUUUGAGAAAAGUCUUCAAAUUGCGAUGCAAUAUUAUUGUACGUAAUAUUUGAACGACUAUUACAACGGAAAUCGAAGAUUAUAAAUAUCGAACAUGAAAUAGUUAGAUCAUUAUGCCACGUGCGUCUUAGUUCGAUGAUACUGCAAGAUCUAUAAAAUCUCACAGAUAGAAGCGUAUUGCGAAUAUAAGUCUGGUCUCUAACGAUUACCUGACUUCUCGAGCGAUUUUUAAAUCGCACUUUAUCCCACCACGUGACUUUAUCGUUAACGCGAGAAUCAUUAAAAACAGCAAAAAGGUGUGCAAUCAAUGAAAAAAGAGGACGACAAAGAGCAUAAUGUAGAAUUCCCGGAACUGGUAAAGUUCAACUCGGAUAAAACAUCGACGAAUAAUAUUCUCGUUGAGGAGAAAAAUUAGAAGCUGCAGAAUAUUUUCUGAACGUGAUGUAUGCUAAUAACGUUAAAUUGCAGUGUCAAUUACAAGCAGACGUAAGUAAAUCAUGCACGUGACACGUGUAGCUAUAUUCUCUUCAGAACGCAUCACAUUACACAAAUAGACGCGCUUUGAGCUAAAUUCUAUUUACAUGAACAUCACAUGAAUCCGCAGUUUCCAUUAAAACAGACAAAAAACAAACAGAUGUAAUCUCGUAUGUGUACCGUAUCUUUCCACUUUUUCUCAUAAAUAUGUAAAUAUUUUCUAAUUAUGUAUAUAUCCUUGCCUGUCACACUGUACUGGUCCUUGUGCAUUGUUCCAUGCUGAAUUUUAAUCCGUAAUCAGAGUGCCUCAACUCAAAAUAAUUCAGUCCCCUGAUAGAGGAAUGUCGAAGCUACCAAUAUGAUGAUUUCAAGGACUACGAAUGUAAAGAAUUACAAAAAAGAUAUUCGGUCAUUAUUUCCUACAAUCUAUUCUGUUUACCAACAUUGUACGUCUAAUACAAAUAAUUUUCUUGUAAAAUUCCAAAUAGUUUUUCACUUUCACUUUCAUUCGACUUGCGUUACUUUUCAAAUACGAAAUCUUACAAGAUAGAAACAAAUUCAUUACUUAUUCGAAUUCAGCAUAAGAAAAUACCUUAAUCCUCAAAUGACAAAGAACCAAAGAUACUUUCUAAACUAUAGCAUAACAAUUAGUUAUCAUUUCUCUCUCGCCAACUAAAUUACAAGCGUUUGCUUCACUACGUCCUCAGAAAUAUCGUGCCGGUGGACAAAGUUCCGGUAACUCACGAAAAUGGAACAUAAAGAACGCAUAGUUUCAUCGUUAUAAAAUCUCACGAUGCACGGUAUUCCCAUAGAACAACAUUUGGAUCUCUUUUUCGUUUUCCGUGUAAUCCCCGGAAGAUUUAAGGAAAUGUCACCGUGUCAAGGUAAAAUGACACCGAACAGAUCUAACCCGCUUUAUAUCCGGCAAGUGCAGGAGUUAAUUUUUCCACGAGCCCGCCUGAGACGAAUUAAAAAUCCAACGACUGUUUUAUCGGGAUUAUUCGACCGUGACACAGUGUCCAACGUCUGUCUCAGACGUCAGCCGUCCGGUUUCAAUAUUUCAAUUGAACCUGUCUUGUAUUGUAAUGUCGGUGUAGAAAAGGUUUGCAACGCGUCGAAAAGACACGUUAGCAGAGCGUUUUAAAUAUUCAUGCGGCUUUAUCCGUUUCUUCAGUUUCAGGGAAAAAAAGAAGAUAAAUUAGUCGUUGGUCGAUGAAAUCGAUAGUGUAUAACCCUCGAACGAGCUAUUUCGAGGAAGGAUAGCUGAAUAGCGUAAUUACUCUCGAUAGUGUUAAUUGCCAGUAGAGUAGACCACGAGUAAUUAAUUAUCGAGAAACUUUAAUGAAAACUUUAAUGUCUUCUCGAAGAUAUGAAAAUUAAGUGCAGAUAAAUACUUCUUGAAGUAUGUAUUUGUGCAAAUUCGUGUUUUUGCACGAAUAGUGCAAAAGUGAUAAAGGAAUUUGAAUAAAAAUAAUUAUUAUUUGCA